GACGAACGCUGGCGGCGUGCCUAAUACAUGCAAGUAGAACGCUGAAGGAGGAGCUUGCUUCUCCGGAUGAGUUGCGAACGGGUGAGUAACGCGUAGGUAACCUGCCUGGUAGCGGGGGAUAACUAUUGGAAACGAUAGCUAAUACCGCAUAACAGUAGAUAUUGCAUGAUAUCUGCUUGAAAGGUGCAAUUGCAUCACUACCAGAUGGACCUGCGUUGUAUUAGCUAGUUGGUGGGGUAACGGCUCACCAAGGCGACGAUACAUAGCCGACCUGAGAGGGUGAUCGGCCACACUGGGACUGAGACACGGCCCAGACUCCUACGGGAGGCAGCAGUAGGGAAUCUUCGGCAAUGGACGGAAGUCUGACCGAGCAACGCCGCGUGAGUGAAGAAGGUUUUCGGAUCGUAAAGCUCUGUUGUAAGAGAAGAACGAGUGUGAGAGUGGAAAGUUCACACUGUGACGGUAUCUUACCAGAAAGAGACGGCUAACUACGUG
rnacentral:rRNA from 1 species